rnacentral:other from 1 species
UUCACCCUGCCUGGUGCGCGGACCGUUGCAAAAUAACCCUACAAUAUUUAAAUCGGGAGCAUACGCUCCGGUGGCGGACUUCAGACCUCCCGGCUUUUGCCGGAUGAAGGGAGUAUGAAACCAUUGGGCUGGCACCCACCUGCUUAACGGUAGCAGGUUAUUUCAGCACAUUACGGCCAGGCGGGAUUAAU